ensembl:lncRNA novel transcript
AAGUUAAGCAAAUUCUUUCCAGAGAGAAGGUGAGCCUGACAGACUAAAACGUUGAGCACGGAUGAUACAGCAGAAAUAACAUUUCCAGUGUAAUGAGAGAUAAAGAGGAAUACUGCCCACCGAGGAAAUGACUUUCUUCACCAUGCUGACCACACUGCACAGCGCCCGAUCCGGCUGGUGAGGAUGGGGAGGUGGGAAGAAUCUCAAAGCACUGGACAGGGUGAGGACUCAGGAAGUCACGGGGUCAGCCCUACAGCAUCAGCUCCUCUCUGUUGUUGGAGAGGCCCUGAGCCCCAUUACUCACUAUACGAGGACCAGAGUGUCUUUGGCAGGUGGAGGCUGGCUCACGGGAGAACACCAAGUGAGGGGGCUCCUCUGUGAACCCAAGAAACUUCAAGGAACCCCACAGCGUCUCCCUUAUGACCUCCCAUCUCCAGAUUAGGAAGCUAUGGAUUCCCAGAGGGUCCUUUGGAAGUAUCUAGAAAUGUCCAGGGUGAGUCUAGCCAGGUUCACCUUCAGGAUGCUUUCCCCAUGCCCUGUGGUUGAGACGGCUCCGAUGUCAUUGUCGGCAUAACCUCCAGCUCCUGCUC